GGAAGAUGGUAGGGGCGCACGGUGGAUGCCUUGGCACUGGAAGCCGAAGAAGGACGCGUCAAGCUGCGAUAAUCCGCGGUGAGGGGCACAAGCCCGUCGACCCGCGGGUCUCCGAAUGGGAAAACCCGGCGAGCUUCAUCGCUCGUCACCCGCCAGGCGAACUCAUAGCCCGGCGGGGGGCAACCCGGGGAACUGAAACAUCUAAGUACCCGGAGGAAGAGAAAUCAAACGAGACUCCCCCAGUAGCGGCGAGCGAACGGGGAAGAGGCCAAACCGGCGGGAGCGCAAGCCCCGCCGGGGUCGUGGGACCAGGCACUGCGCGGUUACAAAGGACCGAGGAAGCGGAACGGCAUGGGAAGGCCGGCGGUACAGGGUUAGAGCCCCGUACGCGGAUCCGCGGUCCCCGCCGCCUGGCACCCGAGUACCGCCGGACACGUGAAACCCGGUGGGAAGCAGGGGGGACCACCCUCCAAGCCUAAGCACUCUCCAGUGACCGAUAGCGUACCAGUACCGUGAGGGAAAGGUGAAAAGCACCCCGGGAGGGGAGUGAAACAGUACCUGAAACCGUGCGCCCGCAAGCAGUCGGAGCACCCCUUUGGGGUGUGACGGCGUGCCUUUUGUAGAAUGAGCCAGCGAGUUGCGGUGCGCGGCGAGGUUAAGGCGAGAUACCGAGCCGCAGCGAGAGCGAGUCUGAACAGGGCGUUCAGUCGCGCGCCGCAGACGCGAAGCCGGGUGAGCUACCCAUGGGCAGGCUGAAGCGGGGGUAAGACCCCGUGGAGGGCCGAACCCACUUCGGUUGAAAACGGAGGGGAUGACCCGUGGGUAGGGGUGAAAGGCCAAUCAAACCCGGAGAUAUCUCGUUCUCCCCGAAAUAGCUUUAGGGCUAGCGUCGGGAGCUCACCUGUGGAGGUAGAGCACUGGACGGCCGCGGGGGCCUCACCGCCUACCAAAGCCGACCAAACUCCGAAUGCCACAGGUCCGGAUCCCGGCAGUCAGAACAUGUGGGCUAAGCUGUGUGUUCGAGAGGGAAACAGCCCAGACCGCCCGCUAAGGUCCCGAAGUCCGUGCUGAGUGGCAAAGGAUGUGCGUUUGCUCAGACAACCAGGAUGUUGGCUUAGAAGCAGCCAUUCAUUUAAAGAGUGCGUAACAGCUCACUGGUCGAGUGGACAUGCGCCGACAAUAUACGGGGCUAAGCACGGCACCGAAGCGGCGGGGUGGCGCCCUUUAGGGCGCGACCGGUAGGGGAGCUUUCCGGCCUGCGGCGAAGCCGAGGGACGACCCUCGGUGGAGCGGCCGGAAGUGAGAAUGCUGGCAUGAGUAGCGAGAGCGGCGUGGGAAACGCCGCCGCCGUAAACCCAAGGUUUCCCGGGCGAGGCUAAUCCCCCCGGGGUCAGUCGGGAGCUAAGGCGAGGCCGGAAGGCGUAGCCGAUGCACAGCGGGUCGACAUUCCCGCACCCCCGACGCGGAGUCUGACCGAAGGUGUGACGGAGGAGGGUAGCCGGACGGGGUUCUGGACGUCCCCGCGAUGGCGCGUAGGGCGAUGCCUUGUGAAACGCGGGCAUCACGUGGCCUGAGGCGCCGGACGAAGCGAGCGAGCGAAGCCGGUGAGCCCAUGCUCCCAAGAAAAGCACCUAGGGAUCCGCUAGGGGCCCGUACCGCAAACCGACACAGGUGGGUGGGUAGAACAUACCAAGGCGAUCGGGAGAACCAUGGUUAAGGAACUCGGCAAAACUGCCCCGUAACUUCGGGAGAAGGGGUGCCGGCGUGGCGUGGAGGGGCUUGCCCCCCGAGCGCGGGCCGGCCACAGCGAAGAGGUCCAAACGACUGUUUAUCAAAAACACAGGACUCUGCUCAAGCCGUAAGGCGACGCAUAGGGUCUGACGCCUGCCCGGUGCCGGAAGGUCACGGGGAGCGGUCAACCUCCGGGUGAAGCCGCGAACCCAAGCCCCGGUAAACGGCGGCCGUAACUAUAACGGUCCUAAGGUAGCGAAAUUCCUUGUCGGGUAAGUUCCGACCUGCACGAAAGGCGCAACGACUUGGGCGCUGUCUCGACCAUGGACCCGGUGAAAUUGCACUAGUCGUGAAGAUGCGACUUACCCGCGGAAGGACGGAAAGACCCCGUGAACCUUUACUGCAGCUAGGCAUUGGCUGCCGGACCGUCGCGUAGAGGAUAGGUGGGAGGCAACGAACCGAGGGCGCCAGCCCCCGGGGAGCCACCCUUGGAAUACCACCCCCGACGCUCUGGCAUCCUAACCCCACGCCCUGACCGGGGUGGGGGACCGUGCCUGGUGGGUAGUUUGACUGGGGCGGUCGCCUCCCAAAGAGUAACGGAGGCGCGCGCAAGGUCUGCUCGGGACGGUCGGCAACCGUCCUCAAGAGUGCAAGAGCGUAAGCAGGCUUGACUGCGAGGCCAACAAGCCGAGCAGGUGGGAAACCAGGCUCUAGUGAUCCGGCGGCCCAGAGUGGAAUGGCCGUCGCUCAACGGAUAAAAGGUACUCCGGGGAUAACAGGCUGAUCUUCCCCAAGAGUCCACAUCGACGGGAAGGUUUGGCACCUCGAUGUCGGCUCAUCGCAUCCUGGGGCUGGAGCAGGUCCCAAGGGUAUGGCUGUUCGCCAUUUAAAGCGGUACGCGAGCUGGGUUCAGAACGUCGUGAGACAGUUCGGUCCCUAUCCUCCGUGGGCGCAGGAAGAUUGAGGGAGGCUGCCCCUAGUACGAGAGGACCGGGGUGGACGGACCUCCUGUGCACGGGUUGUCGACCAACGGCACCGCCCGGUAGCAGAGUCCGGUCUGGAUAACCGCUGAAGGCAUCUAAGCGGGAAGCCAGUCCCGAGAUGAGUCUUCCCUUCGGUAAGGGCCCUCGUAGACCACGAGGUCGAUAGGGCGCAGGUGCAAGCGCGGCGACGCGCUCAGCCGAGCGUCACUAAUAGCCCGAGCUCUUCCAUC
rnacentral:rRNA from 1 species